rnacentral:lncRNA from 1 species
AUCUCUGGUUAGAGUAAACUGUUAAGACUUAAAACUUACUCAUUUACCUUUCACCAUGGGACUUGUAACCGUCACUUCUGUCUUGAGUAGUUAAAAGAUAGAACAGUCUAGUCAAGCACCAUGUCUCUUGUUCUUCGAUUAACUAUAGCUCUGGAGUUUUUGCAGAUUUUCAAAUAAAACUCAGAGAUUCCUUGUAUGACUCUCUCUAGUCUCUCUUUUGUGGUAUUUCUGGAUCCUUACCAAGGCAGUAAUGGUGUAUGCCUUCUCUCAAAGUAUGUGGUAUUUGUGGUAUAAGGCAUAGUGGCAUUGCCUUCUCUCUCACCCUACUCUAAUAAGGCUUUUGAUAUCUGGAGCUCAUAGGUGGGAGACAGCUAAUACAUACUUACAAGACAUUUAUUGCAUAGUCAAACCUUGGAUCCAGAAGAACAAGUCAAUAAGUCAAAUCAAGAUGUGCAUGUGUGGCGAAUGAAUGAUGCAUGGUAAUGAUGGUGAUAACAAUGGUGAAAGUCUAAUUUUACUUAUGCUCUUUUGAGGGGAUACAUACCUUUCUUGCUCUUUUGAAACUUUUUGAGGAGAAUGAGAUGCUCUAUAUUUCUUUUUUCUUUUCUCUCAGGUGGGUAACUUGUACCCCUAAUUCUACUGUCAGACACUUGUCCAUUUUUACCUCUCGUCUCACUUCUUUUUUUUUCUUUUCUUUCGAGGUUCCGGGCACCUGACCCUUUUUAUUUCCUCGUAUCUUUUUUUUUCUCUUUUUUUUUCUUUUUUUUAGAGCACUCAUCUCCUGAAAUAAUAUAGCAAGUGGUAGUAACCAAGAUAACUUGAGCAUUUAUUUCACAGGGGAAAACAGAAAUAGGAUAAUGUUUUUAGCUAUUCUCUCCCAGAUUAGGAGUAGAAUAUUUUUGGAUGGUUUUGGAGAUGGAAAUGAGUGGAUGUAUGUGGAUGCGUACUUCCAGAGUAGAAGCAGCAUGUAUGAGUGAACGUGCAAGUGAAUCUUGAUUUUAACCACAUGACAAGCUCCUAAGGGUCUACACAGCUUGACCACACUCAAUGCUCAUAAGCAAUAAAAAGUAAAUGUGUGGCUCAAAGUCUAGCAAGCAUGUAUAUAUGGUUGUGGUAGGAAUUUAAACUCUCAUCAUACAGGAACUCAUCAUGUGAUAUUUUAAAGAUUUUCAAAGAUAAAAUUCUCCAGAAUUAUAGCAUCUCUAGGAACAGAUAAACAGCAGCUCAACCUUCCCAUAUCAUAUCCGUUAACGACUUAGACUUCAGAUCAAGUACUCUUCUCACAAGUUCAGGUUUAGAGCAAAUCUUAAUUAAUAACAGUGAUGCCUAAACUUGAGAGAGAUUUCAAUUUUGAGAACUAGUCAUGGCAGAGCAACUAUUCAUCUUUUCAUGUGAGAGCUUAUCAUAAGGGUUCAUAGCAAAUUUUUAUUUAUUUAUUUAUUUAGCAAACUAAGCAAAGAUAUAUAUAUAAGCACAAAAUCUUUAUUUGGGUUUUUAUGAUUAUGCAUCUUUUUAUUAUUUGAGUAAAAUAUAAACGUGAGUAGAAUACUUAGCUGGAUAAAUGGAGGUGCUCUACCCCAAGCUGGAUUUUGACGUAAUUCCUUUUGAUGUAGCAGGUGGCGGAGGUGUAUUUGAAUGUCGGCAGCACCCUGACAUUGAUUAGGAUGUCCUCCGUCUACUAGUCUUCUUUGAUCCUUUAAUUCUGUGGAGCUCAAAUAGACAACAAAGCUUUGUGGAACUAGUUAAGUGUUAGCAUAAAUAUCUAGCCUUUAUCAUGUUGAGCCUCCUCAAUAAAUGUUACUCUCUUUAGUAGGAUCAUAAAUUUAUUUUUAUAUUUUCAUUUUUAUAGGACAGGAAUAUAUAUAUUUAUUUUUACGCCACCACAGUGAAUGUACUUAUGGGUUUUAUGCCAUGAGCAUACUCACAUGGGGCUUACUAUUUUUAACAUUUUUAUUUUCUUUUCAAGAUAGCAUGAACCUGAUUAACUAAGCAAACUAUUUUAAAUAAUUGAAAGGGAAAAGAUAGCUACCAAGUUUACCUCUUGGCAAGGCGUUUGGUGUUUUUUUAAGUCCUCCGAACGGGACUCUCCGUUUUCUCAGUCGUCCUAGGAUUCGCUGGAUGGCGUAGUAGGUAGUUCCGGCGGUGCCUCCUCUUCAUGUAUAACUAUCUUCUCUCUGCACACCUGACUCGGUGCUACGGUCUCCUCAGGACAGUUCUGUUCAAGCUGUAUGUCUUCAGACCUUACGACUUCUCCUUCAUAGUCUGCCCAUCCGUCCUUGAUGAUUUGCCUCCUCUGGUUGCGGUUGCGUCGUCUUCUUCUUGUCCUGACCUGCUUAGAGUCUUCAACUAUAUAGUUAAGGUAAGUAAAAUAACGGCGUACCUUCUCAGAGGGGAAGUGCAUGUGGACUUCUCCGGUUCCAAUGUUGAUGAUUGCUUUAACGGUGCUGAGGAGCGGCCUCUCAAGGAUGAUGGGUGGAUCGUACUCGUCUUCUCCCAUGUCAAUAACCUUCAAUCUUUCAGAAUGUCUGAUCUGCCAUCUAGACCUGAAUGUAUGUUGGUUGUAGGGACAUGGUUCCAUGCAGGAGCUGAUAAGUGACUGCGGCCAUUAUAUUGACGUUAGAUCUGGUGUCGUAGAGUGUCUUCUGAAAAGAAUAUCCAUUGAUUGUGCACUCGAUGCUUGGGACACCAGGGUCGUUCUUCUUGAUCAAGAAAGGUGACUUGAGUUGACAAUCUUGACCUCCUUGAGCUGCAGUGACCAUCUUAGCUGACUCAGUCCACAAUUGCUUGUUCCUGUUCCUCCUGUUGGUCCUUUCCUUGGUUCAUGUCAGGAUUGCUCUGAGAUUUGUGCAGUUUUGUUCUUGAAGGAAAACGUCUCCUUCGUCCCCUUGAUGUAGAAACUGAUCUUGGCAGCACUAGCAUGGAUAACCGCUCCUGAGGUGUUCAGGAAUGACCUCCCUAGAAUGAUGGGUGCCCUCUCAUCAGUGUCAGUCUCUAUCGCCAUGAAGUCUACUGGGGCGUACAAGGUACCAACUCGUAUGCAGAGGUUCUUCAAUAUUCCUUUUGGGAAACUUAGUGUACGAUCUGCAAGCUACAAACCCAUGGUUGUUUCUGAUAAAGGAUGUGUAAAGAAUUUUUCAUAGAGUACCCGGAGCAUAAGGUUGACGCUGGAGCCAAAGUCGCAGAGUGCUUCUAGGAAGUCCACCAUGCCGAUGGAGAUCGGGAUGACGGGGCGUCCUGGGUUGUCUCUCUUGACCGGCAGAAGGUCAGUAAUUACUUCCACAACGGGGUUACUCCAGUAGUUACGUCCUCAAGCAUCUCAGGGCAGUGAUUGCCUGAGUGUCCAGUAUCUCUAGUGUGUUUGUGCUCGUAGAUCUAGGUUCUUCACUUGGUGGAGUCUGGGAGUUGUAAAAGUCCGUCAUAUUUUGCUCGAAGUGUACCUGCUCAUAGAGACAAGGCAGAGAUCAAGUGCAUGGGCCCUGUUGGUGGAAAUCACCAACAGAACCAAAGUGUAUUCGUUCUCUCUAACCUUAAGCAUAGUGAGCAAGACAAAGUUGAUAGAUAAUAAGAUCAUGAAUGUAGCAUUUAAAACAUUUGUCAGAUCAGAUCGCUCAACCUAAUGGAAAGAUAAUCUAUCUAUAUAUAUGUUUUGUUUAUAUCUUCCAAAGAUUGAGUGUGCAACAUUUUAGCUUAUAUGAUUAGGAGUAUGGGAUCACAAAGGUGGAAGGACUAAAUAUGUUGAAUCGAUUAGGUUGGUUAAUCUAGAGUUGUAAAUCUUACAUGUUUGUCUCUUUUACUCAUGUGAAUGCCAAAAAUAAGGAGAAGCUUAUAGAAGUGAUAGUCAAGUACCUUAAGAUGUUACCUUACUUGAAGAGUGAUGGUACAGUAUCACCUUGUGGAAGCUUUCCUUUCUUAGCGGUUGUGCAUCAUGUUUGUGGCACCCCCCAUCGAUCAUCUCUUGUGAGGUAUGCCUUCCUUGUGUAAAUUGUUAAACUUCAUGUGUGUCUCUCCUUGUCUCCAAUGUGAGUUUAUCUCAGGACUUCCCAGGUCGAUAUUUAAAGUUUUUCUGCAGGGGUUAGUCCAACAAAAUAUCCAAUAUCUACUAUAGCAUACUAUUGGUUCAAAAAUCAACCUAGACACCAUGUCUAAUUUGAUUUAGGAGGGCAUUUUAACCUAAGCACCAUGCUUAAUUUAAACUCCCUUGGAAGUAAGAUCAUCAUUCCUAAACUAAGCACCAUGCUUAAUUAAGAGAUAAAUGAAACUACUCCAAACCUAGACAUAUACUAAAGCAAAUAAAGGUGGUAUGAGAGCAUUUAUAGAGAUCUACUCAAGUGGAGAUGAAGUAGUGUGAUUAGUAUUUAACAAAUUGAGCAUGUCUCAAAGGUAGGGACAACCAACAUAGCAAUAUGGCAAAUGAUGUUUUUAUGUAAAGUACUCCCCCAAGCUUGAAUUUUUGCAGAAUUCAAGUUUGGAUGAAUUUAAUUCAAUGUUGUAUGAUGAUUGGUUGGACAUACCUUGUGCUUGUCAUUCAUCCGAUCUUCUUGCUCCAAUCCUGGAAAGGUUAGUGACAAGAAUACCCGAAGGAAUAUUUUUACAAUUAUCCUAAUAUGCUCAACACACAAGGUAAUGUUGCAAAUAAUUAAAAGCUCAUGUUAUGAUCUAAUUAGUGCUUGUUUUAGGACACUAAGCUUGUCCUUGGGAAACCAUCAAUUUAUGUCGGCGAAGUGGUUUCCCCUCCAACGCUGACCUAUAUCAAGAUCAACUCAACGAGAUCUGCAAUAUUUCUUAUAGACAUAUGCAUCGACAACCGUCCUUUUAAAGUUUUUAUAAAUAGAAAGGAUGAGGGGGUUGGAGAUCUCGAAUGUGGUGAUGUUGGAGAGACCAAUAGAUUGUGAAGAUGUUGCAUAUGAGCAUGGAGUAAAUGAAGUGGCUAUGAAAUAAAUUCCAUGCGAAUUAAUGCUUAGAGUGAAAUCCAUGUGGUGUGGUGAAAAUGGUAAGGUGAGUGUGGUAUAAAAGGAAAAGAAAAAGGAUACACGGACGACUUGGUUCGAAACUAGUACAGCUACCGUUCCCCGGCAACGGCGCCAGAAAGCUUGUUGGGUAUUUUAAACGCAAACAGAAAAAUCCGCAAGCGCACGGAUACCGAUGUAGCCUUCACCCGGGAGUAUUCCAGAGUAUCGAUUUUCCACAGGGAACGUGAGUGUACUAAUUAAGAUCCAAGAUCGCCCAAGGAUAAAUAUAUAAUUAUUUUUUGUGGGAAGAGAGGAAGUUUCCUGAGAGUUCUCUAGUUGAUCUAAGAAUCAAGAAUUACUUCAAGAUUAUCUAUAUCGGGACAUCAGAGCACUAACCAUAGAAAGAGAUGAGAAGGGGGCUACGAAGGUCUGACUACGGUCCUACAAACACCGAUCCGAACGUGGUGGAAUACGUCGACCGUUAGGGCUAUCACUACCCUAGGGCUACCACAACAAUCCGUAGGAUUGGGUGCAAUUCCAGGUAAUUGCAAGACUAAACACCACGUCUAAUCUAUUAAUUACUACUCUAGCGUUAUAAAGACUAGAGCACUUGAUGCAAGCGGGAAUCCAAUAAAUAACUUGAAUGUAAAUAAAAGUAAUUAGAGAACUCAGGAAUUAUGAAUUGAAGAACCUGGAGAACGAUGAAGAAUGAACCAGAUGCUGCAAAAGUAUAAUGUUGAGGAAGAUCCGACAGAUCCGGCUCCUCCUCCGCUCUCCUCUUCUCUCUCCCUAUUUUCUAGAUUACAACUAGAACUAACUAGAACUAGAACUAGAGGAACUAGAACUAGAACUAGAUGAACUAGAACUAGAUCUAGAUGAACUAGAGGUAGAACUAGAAGAACUAGAGGGAUCCUCUCUACUUGGAUGAAGAAUUGAAACCCUAACUUUGAUUCUGUAGAAGAGGUAUGAUCUCCAGGGGCCAAGGGGUUUGGUUUUAUAGUCCUUUCAAGUGAAUCUGGGCCGUCGGAUCAAACCGACAUUGAUCGUGUGGUUUUCCUUGAAGUAUUAGGUCGGUGGAGCAUGAUCCCCGAACUUCACCCUGAUUGGUCCAGGGGGGAGGGCGGGCGCCCUCAGGACUAGGGCGGGCGCCCUGUCCCUGAGGCCUCUCGGCUUCCGCUUCGGUCCCGUGGCUUCUGGAGUCUUCUAGAUGAUAGAAAAUUGCGCAGCACGUUAAUAUCUCUAUGUAAACCCGACGUGUGGGCCUUUCCUCCAUAUUUCCUGAUAACCCCCUGCAGAAAUAGACAAACACCAAAACUCGUGGAAUUCUGUCACAUAAAACCCUAAGUCUAGGUGUUGGUUGCAUUUGGAUCCUUUUCUAUGAUUAAUUGAUGGUUAAAUAUGUGCAUUAAGGACCGUCAACAAUUACAAACAAGGUUCUAGCACCAUUUGUGAAACAACUAAAGGUCUAGUUAUUCUAUCUAUGCAUGCUAGUUCUUCAUUUCAUUAAUCAAACUUACAACUAGCAUACACCACACAAGCAAGGCAAUGAAGAGAAAACUUCUAAAGCUAAUGCAAAUGCAAGCAGACAUAUGUGAUGCACAUUCAAAUGCAACAUACAAGUUUAUGAGCUUGCUCCCCCUACUUGUGUGCUUCAAAAUUUUGAUUGAUCUCCUUCUUUUAUCAUGUUAUUCCCCUAUCUUUGUACUUCUCCCCUUUUAGCAAAUUUUUGGGAAAUUCUCUCCCCCUUUGUCAUCAAAGACCACAAAAGUUGAGCUCAAAUUUUAGAUUGGUUAGUGUGAAACCAUGUAAAGUGAGAUCAUUUUCCCAAAUUGGUUCAAUCUAGAUUACUUGCCUAAGAUAUUUAACCUCUAUGAUACCUUGCUUGUGUGGUGUAUCCUAGUUGUAGGUUUCAUUGAUGAAAUAAAGAACUAGCAUGCAUGGGUAGUGUAACUAGACUUUUAGUUGUUUCACAAGUGGUACUUGAACAUCAUUUAAAUGUUGAUCGCAUGGGGUGUUCUAGUUUUGUGAAUGUCUAGUUACUAAUGGUGCUAAGGAUGGUGUAUAUUGGCAACUCCAAUUGGUAUCAUGCUUCAAAGGUCCAUUCUUUAUACCUUAGCAUCAUUUGGUAGAAAUUGACUCCUAUAUUUCCUAUUCUAGCAUAUGUGCAAGCUUUCAAAUCCAAACUCUUAGCACAUAUGUAACCUAAGCACCAUGCUUAAGUUAAAAAGCCUUAAAAAGUAUGUAUAUACAAUACUACCAAACUAAAACAUAUUAGCACAAAUGGAAAGAAAAAUGAAAGGCACAAAACUUUUGGCACAUUUUUAUUACUCAAGGUGACAAGAAAUUAAAAGCAUAGGCUAUGAUUAUGAACAGACACAAAGCAUGACUAAAAAUCUAAGCAUUGCCAUGUUAGCAAAACUUAAACAAGUUCAAUCAAUUAUUCAUAUGUUCACGCUCAUAAGAUUGAGGGUAAUAAAGAAACAUUAAGCACAUACCUUAGGAAUUUUACCUUUGUCACGUGAAGCUUGAGGAUGACCUUGGAUGGAUCAUGAUCGAUUUAAAGCUUCUUAUUCUCACUAUUGAAUUGCACAUUUGCAUCUUGUCUUUUUUUGAAUUCCUUCUUCUUGAUGUCACCCAUGACUUGCUUGCUCAGUCUUGAGUCAUAAUUUUGAAAUCUACUACAAACACUAGUGCAAGGUGAUACUACAAACCUGAUCGGUGUGCAAGCACAUUGGCCUGUGCAACAAUCUAGCUCAAUUUAGGUUGGCACCAUUUUAUUCAAAAGGGAAAACACUACUAAUACUAUGAUAGGCACUAAACUACUAUUACGAUGGACACUAAAUGAACUAAGAAAGGAAAUAAAUGGGUUAUGUCCUAGUAGUGCUUUGUUUUAAGUUAUAAGCUCGACCCUUGCAGUUGGACUGCAAAAACUUGUGCCUAGGCAAUUACGAGCUUUGGAAUGCUUAUGGUAAACAAAAGCAUCAUUAACCAUCCUUUCAAAGGGUUAAUGAAGGAGAGACAUAGGAUGGUUGCGACUCUCGUAAAUGCUAGUAAAAGUAGGAAAGAAAGAUUCUAGCAAUUUCUCAUAAAAUUGUGGAUCAGGUGGCUCUUCGAAAAUAUAACUUAUAUGCUCGUCCACCUGAUUCUCCUUACUGAACUCCAAAAAUGAUUCCUCAAGAAUGUCAAUAAACCAAACGUCUUCAUACAUCAUCUCCUAUCUAUGAUACUCUAGGAAUGGAUUUUCAUCCUCAUCCUCCAUUAAGAUGGGGAUCCAUUUCAACGGCGACUCUCCUUCCAUUUUGACAUCAACCAGAGGAUUUGGAUUGUAUCCUUGGUUUGAAUGGUCAAAUAGAUAAGGAGGGUCAUAUGGAGGAUCAAGACCUAUGGUGGUGGAUGAUAUUGAUUUGAGGGACUCUUGGACACCCAAAUCAUAUGAUGGAUAGUGAAGAUAAUGAUUUGGAGUCAAGGAUGCUAGAGAUCCUUGUUGGAUUGGAUGAUUUAAGGUGUUUUCAUCAUUAGAUGAGAUAUCCUCCUCAAAUUCUAUAGGAAAUUCCAAAGGACCACUGUUGACGGUGUUAAGUACCAAAUUUAAUUAUCAAAUAAACAAAUAAAAGGAUCCAAAUGCAACCAACACCCAGACUUAGGGUUUUAUCUGACAGAAUUCCACAAGUUUUGGUCUUUGUCUAUUUUUGCAGGGGGUCAUCAGGAAAUAUGGAGGAAAGGACCACAUGUCGGGUUUACAUAGAGAUAUUAACGUGCCGCGCAAUUUUCUAUCAUCUAGAAGACUCCAGAAGCCACGGGAACGAACGCGAAGCCGAGCGGGCCCGGGGGCAGGGCGCCCACCCUCCCCCCUAGGGCGCUAGCCCAAUCAUGUGGACCAAUCAGGCUCCGCCUCGCGGAUCAUGCUCCACCAACCUAAGGGAUUAACGAAAACCGUGCGAUUAAGGUCGGUUUGAUCCGAUAGCCCACAUUCAUUUGGAGAGGCUAUAUAAGCAGGCCCCCUGGCCCCUGGAGGAGGCACCCCCUUGAUCCCUAUUCAUUAUUCAUAAACAAAGCAAAAGCUAGGGUUUGGAGAUGAGAGCUCUCCUCUCAUCUCUAAACUAGAGUAGAUCUAGAUAGUAGCGAGAUGGAGAGCGAGGGAGGAUUGGAGGAGAGGCCGGCCUAACGGUUCUUCCUCUGGUUGUACUUCGCCAUGAUCAAGCUCUAAUCAAGAUUGCUCAUGGGAUGACUUUGGUAAUCUACUUCUAUUUCAUUAUGCAAUUACUAUCCAUGUAUGUUCUAGUUCACAACUCUUUUGAGUACUUUAAUCUAUAGGACGCUAUAGGUGAGAGUUGUAGUAUAGGUGUAAGCAUGGUGCUUAGACCUAGAUUACUUGUGGAUAUCCCCUGUCUAGCUGGAUCGUGUGGUAGGCCGCGUGGGUGACAGCUACGUUGGUUCUCUGUAGUCCACCUCCCGUUAGCAGGACUGGUAGGGUUUAUCGGCCUAUGGAUAAGCAUCCUUUGUGGUGUAAUCUUAUCACGUGGUUCGUCCCAGACAUAGACAUACCCCUUUGAAGUAGAGAAACCAUAGUUAUCCUCUCUAUUCUCCUACCAUCGCCCAUAUCCUAGAUUGCUCUACUCUUUAUUCCCAUAUUAUCACCCAUUGUUAUCUUACCUUUAAUAUUGCUCUUAUUCAAUUCUACCAUCUUUCCUAUUUACACCUACCUAUCUAUCUAGGUUAAGUUAGAGCAUAGAUCAGUUCUCCCGUUUCCCUAUGGAUACGAUAAAACCUUUAACCGGGUAAAAGCUACAACAGUAUCCGUGCACUUGUAGAUUUAUCUGUGUGCGUAUAAAUAACAUAGUACACUCUAGUGCCAUGCUGGGGAUGACAACCUAGUAUUCAAGUGGUGUUACAAAGUGUCAACAAGCUAUUUGGCGCCGUUGCCGGGGAAACGGUUGCUGAGUUGACUACGAAAUAGCUUAAUCAUUUUUCUAAAAAUAAAAAAAAUAAUAAUAUAUUUUUCUUAUCUAAUCCUUGAUCUCUGGUCUAUCAUGAAUGCAAACAUGUCUAUCUAUCAGUUUCAUAGACCUACGGGCACACACCUCGAACCACCAAAAUCUUCAAAGCCUAUCAUGACAUCUAGUUUUGAGAUAAGCCCGGAAUACAUAGAAUUUCUUCAAAAACAUCCUUUCUCAGGAGAAGGUGAGGAAAACCCAAACACACACCUAAGAGAGUUUUAUCGAGUCUGUGACCUCCUUCGCAUUGAAGGCAUGUCUGAUGAGACCCUUAAUGGAAGCUCUUUCCGUUCUCUUUAACGGGAAAAGCUAGAUAUUGGUACAAACUCAACAUAGGAAGUGCUCAUAGAGAUUGGAAAGAGCUAUACAAUAGUUUUCUCUCUAAAUAUUUUCCAAUCUCCAAAGUGGCGGAUCUUCGGCUCGAGAUUCUUUCUUUUAGACAAUUAGAAGAAGAAUCUCUUGGUGAAUCAUGGGACCGCUUUAUUGACCUUACUCUCACUUGCCCAAAGCUUUAUAUUCCAGAAGAAGUUCUUCUAAUUCACUUUUUAAGGGCCUUAGUAGGGAAAAUAAGCAAACCUUUCAUGCGGCCUCUGGAGGAUCUUUCCACCACCUGUCAGCUAGUGAAGCUUGGAAUUUGAUUGAUUUAAUGAGCGGAAAGUCUCCUAGCAUUUAUAUCCCUGAGAAAGAGAAAGAAUCAGUUCCUAGACAAGAAGUGGAAGUUUUGAUAGUGAAAUUACAACCACUUCAAUCCCAAACUUUAGCUAUCAAUUCUAAACCAUCAAUACCCCAAAAUUCUCCAAGGGAGGAAGGAAUUCCGACCUGAAAUCUUUCAGAUGCUGAUGGUUUAGACUUCUAUUUCCAUAAGAGACCUUCAAGCAGGGAUAAUUCAAAUCCUUACAAUAAUAGUUCUCUUAGAGAAUGUCCUGGUUCCUGUUAUGAAGAAGUCGAGGAUGACAUAUCAAGUGAAGGAGAGCUAAACCAUAUAGAAAAUUCUAUCUGAUCCCCUUCCAUGUUCACAAAUUAUAAAUCCAUCCUUGACCUUAGAGACCCCUCUUACCCCUCUCCUUUUUAGUCUCAUGAUGAUCCUAGCAAUCCAUCAAAAUGAUCAUACCAUAGGAGUCAUAAAGACCAUGAGGAUGACAUGUUAAGUAAUGCCAUAGAAGGAGAGCUAAGCCAUAUAGAAGAUUCUAUCAGCUCCAUUGUCUUGAUCACAAAUUCGAAAUGGCUGGAAUGUGUAGAAUGGAAGGACAAGAUAGAAGCCUUAACGGAUUCUGACCUUGGCUCAAUUUCAGAUGUUGAGUCUUUAACUCCCCUCGAAUAUGAGAUUCACCCUUCUAUAGAAGAGGACAUAGACGGGACCAAUCCAAGAGAAACUCUGAACAUUUAGAUUAGAGACGAAGAUAACAUCAAUGAGCAUGGAAUUUAUUUCAUAGCCACUUAGUUUACUCCAUGCACAUAUGAAACAUCUUCCCAAUAUAUUGGUCUCUCCAACAUCACCACAUUUGAGAUCUCCAACCCCCUCUUCCUUUUUAUUUAUAAAAACUUUAAAAUGGCGGUUGUCAAUGCAUAUGUCUAUAACAAAUAUUGCAGAUCUCGUUGAGCUAAUCUUGAUAUACAAAGGUUGGCGUCUAUAACAGAACCGCCCAAAUUAUAAGAGAUUAAGCCAAGGGUGACCAUUUGCACAGUCGAACCAUCGAGCUUAAGCCCAGAUAAUCCCGGUAGUCCGUGAAAUCUCGAGGGAUUUCAAACCACAAAUCAUACAUACAGCCAAGAUCGUAAUAAGUUCAGCGGUCACCAUUCACAAUUACAUCCAGUUCGCAUCAUUCAUCACAUUCAUCAGAGUUACUUAAAGUUGUUACAAACCAAGUUCUCAAGUAGCGAAAGCUUCAUAGUCACACACACAUUUAGUCUGAUACAGUGCCAUAGUUGAUCAUUCCCACAAAAGCAAAAGAGGAGGUAGAGUGACCAUCGCUCUUGGCCUAGUCAUCACCUAUUGCUGGGUACAAGCAGAGAAUGCAAUAACCAUAGUACAUCUGCCCAUCUGCAAAUCAACAUGGGAAUAGAACCCUGAGUACGAGAAUGUACUCAGCUAGACUUACCCGUCAUAAACCAAAAAUAAAGACUCUUCAAGGAUCAUGAAGGCUGUAUAGUGGGGUAGCUGAGACUUUUUGCGUAAAAGCACUACUCAACUAGAAGUACAUCCUAACAGUACUCCCUCUUCUUUUAGUUAGCUCAGGUUAGGUACUAUUACGUAUCAUCUAGAUUUGCACCUGUACUAUUCCAAACAAGUGUGGCGAUAUGAUGGUACCUCAUCAUAGCAUUCAUAAAUCAUUUAUCAUCAUAACCCAAGUGUUCCAUAGUCCUUACUACGAGGACAGGGCUCAUGUCAAGUGCUCACUAUCCAGGAGCGAUGGCGAUUCGAAUCGAUUUCUGACCAGCUGGGGAGUUUAUUCCCCACACAAACCACACUCACUGAUCAAGUGAGCUACAAAUCACCGUAUUGCACUAUCCAGGACCAAUUUGCGGGUUCGACAGGCACCGCCCGUACCAGAGGACCGUUCCGGCGACCGAGGUAUCCAAGGUGUACCAAGGUUGCGCGCCGCGCCCUCAUCGUUCUCCUCAACCAUCACCAAUACAGCGUGUACAUCGGGCCGAUUCCCGGCCCGGAUAGUGCUCAGGCUUCGCGAUCGGAACGACUUACCCUUCCAGCUAAGUGUGAGGCAUGCGUUCAACAUGAUAAGAGGGCCGUCAACAAUCGGUCCUUAACCGACACAAGCAGGGGCACUACGAUCAACCCCACCACAAGACCCUGCCCAGUCUCAAGUUCAAUCCCACACUUGGUUGCUUCCCUCUUAGCAUUGACAGCUAAUCAAACAGGUGUCCACCCAUAUCUUGCAGGUGACAGGAAAUCACCGGACUUCUACUGUACUAAGCAAGCUAAGCAUAGACUCCGAGCCUGUCUACAUAGGACAAGGUAGAUAAAUAAGGUGUGAUAUCAAGGAGUAAGUAUGCAUGAACGGUAUCAAGUAAUUCCUAUCACUUAAAUGCAACAUAGUAAAACCAGCAUAAUAUACUAAUUAAGUUAGCGAGAAUAGGGAGACUUAGAAUGCUCUGGGGCUUGCCUUUCUCAAACGUGCUCGGCUUGUGGUCCGGGCACUCUUGCAGCUCUUCUCCUGGCUCUGGUCCUCCUUGAAGUUCCAGCUCUAGGGUUUCCACCUGCUCCUCGGGUCCCACUUCGUUUUCCUGCGAGCCUGUAUGAUGCAUGUGCGCUUAUGAGUGUAGUGCAAGAUGCCCGGGGUGCAAUGCUUAUGCAAGUGGGUAUCAGAAGACCAUGACAUGGAGCAUAGAUGACAUAGGUGGUUAUUUCUACAAGGUAGUCAACGUCAUCCAAGAACAUGUACUCAGAUUAAGCAUCUAUUGCAUUCUCUUCUACAAGUUGCCUUUAUGGUUAACCAGCAAGAUAACAUGAUGCUUCAAAGAUACACCAAACACCCUUUUAUUCCAUUUAAUUUAUGCAUAACCAUUCAUAAUUUAUUUUAAUUAUUAUUGGACCUACAAUCGUAGCAUAUGUUUCUUUUUAUCAAUAAAUUCCACAAAAAAUACAGUAGAUCACUGGUCAAUCAUAAAGUCUACCAUAAUUUUUUCAUAAUAUUUGGACACUUAUUUUGGGCUACAUAAAUUACAAGAUUAUUCAAUAUAAUUAAGUACAAAUACCCUACUAUUGACCAAGUGUCAAACAACAGAUUUCAUAUUUUUAUAAAUUACUUGUUAACAUAAGAAACACCCACAAAAAUUUCCAGAUUAAUUGCAUGAUCCAGUUAUUUAUUAAAAAUCAUAAACCACUGCAAUGCAAGCAUUUAAAUCAUCAUAAAUUAAUUUAUACAGAAAAUAAUAUGUGACAUAUUUUUCCUAGAGACUAAUCAUCCAUGCAAAGCUAACAAAACAAGUUUCACCUUUUUCUGAGUUAUAUUUUAAUUACUAUGCAUUUUCUACUUAUCAACAAAACAUGGAUUAAAUACAUUUGCAUAGAAAAGUUGUUCAAACAUGACAUGAAACCAUGCCAAACUACAGAUAUGGAAUUAUAGAACACACCAAAAUUUAUUUCAUCAUUUUUGGAGCCAUGGAUCUCAAGAUAUAGAUUUAGUACCAUUUAAAUCAUUUUCUGGAAAACCUUUUAUGAAAAACCAUUUCAAAUCCACAACAAAAAACGCUAGGAACAUCCGGAUCUCUACCUGCCUCGGUCCCCCUGCGGCUGACAGUGGGUCCCCGACCCCACUGGUCAGCGUGAUCGAGAGGGAGAGUACCUCCGACGAGCGGAUCUCGUCGGCGGUGAGGUCUCCGGCCACGGGGUGAGCACCAACAUGCUCCCCGCAGCGAGGCACACCUAAUGGUGCCCUUGGUUUGGCUGGAGGACGACCAGAGCACCCCUGCUGGCGUGCAUGGCGGCACGGCGGCGCUGCUCGCCGUGGCCGGGCCACUCCGGCGGAGUAGAACGCGCGCGGGGUACCGUCUAAGCUUCCUCGUCACGCUCUGAACCUAACGCGCUCAAGAACAAGCCAAACGGGGCAGAAACGGGAAGGUUUCGACGCGGCGAAGCACUUUGACAAGGUCGGGUGAACUCCGGCGAGAGAUUGCGGUCUCACGGAGGGUUUUCACCUCGGUAGAGCGCGCGCAGGGGCUUACCGCGGCGAAGGCGAACACGACGGUGGUCUUGGCGCAGAGAACAGACCACUAACGCGGCUUGCGGCGAGCGGCGGAGCUUCGGCCGGCAAUAGCGCCGCGGCGGUUGCUGUUGCUGCGGCUGCGCUCGCGAGCGGAGAAGGAGAGGGAGCGGGGGGGACAGAAUGGCGUCUGGGGGCACGGGCUGCCGUCCCGACCGGGGUAAGCCGGUCGGCCGAGCGGGCGUCCACGACGCCGGCGUACGGCCGCCACGUGGCCGGCGCCGGGUGGAGCGAGGCGAGUGUCCGCGCGCGGGAGAGGGGAGGGGAGGCCGGGCCGCGCGGCUUGGAUGGGCCGAAAGGGAGGCGGGUCGGCCUAGCAGCGCCUGCCCCCUUUCCUCUUUUUUCUUGAAUUUUUUUUCUCCAAUACUUUUCCAAACUCAUUUUGACAAAUUUAAGUCCUUUUUCAGCUCUAGCCCCCAAAACAAAAGUUGCUCUAAAUAAAAAGUUCUACAACUUUGUUUUAAGCUAUAAUUCCAAAUUCCCAAUAGAAUUUGAAAAACCACUCAAAACUUGUUCUAGGUUUAAAUAAAUUCAUUUUGGGGCUUUUUGUAUAAAAUCCAUUUCUCAAAUUCUAUAGCUCCAAAAAUUUCACAAAAUUAUUCUUAAUUCUUCUAAAACAUAUUUCAAUCUAUUUUUGUCAUUUCAAGAAAUUUGGAAGCAAGCAUACUAUUUUUAUCAUAUUUAAAUCACAUAAAUUAAGCACAUAAAAUCACACUUGAAUUACUACUAUGCUCAUGUGAUGUUAUGCGUAUGCCAUGCUUGAUGAAAAUGCUUAUGGUAGAGUGUAUGAGACUAAGUGCAUGCUUAACACCUAGGGUGUUAUAGCCCUUCCCCCCUUAGAGUUGUUACUAACCAUUUCUUAUGAAAUCUUGGGUAAACUGUUUUUAGGUAAUCCUCGGUUUCCCAGGUGGCAUUCCAAUCAUCGUGAUGACUCCACACCACAUUAUAUGUUUUGACAACUCUGUUCUAGGUUACCCGCUCCUUGGUAUCUACGAUACCCACUGGUUGCUCCUUAUAUUCCAAAUCUGCCUUUAUCUUGAUUCCUCGAGGUUCGAUCCUUUGCUCAGGCACUUUCAAACAUUUUCGCAGCUGUGACACAUGGAAAACUAGAAAGAUUGAGCUCAACUCCUCAGGUAACUCAAUCUUGUAGGCCACAGGGCCCUUUCGUUCUAGUAUCUGGUACGGCUCCACAUAUCUAGGUGCAAGUUUGCUUCUAACUCGGAAACGCUGAACCUUCUUCAUCGGCGUAACCUUGAGGUAAGCAUAGUCACCCACAUUAAACUCGAGUGGCCUUCUUCUCUUAUCGGCCUAACUCUUUUGCCAUGAUUGUGCCGCUCUCAUAUGUUGUUGUAUGAUUUGCACCUUCUUGUCAGCCUCGUUCAUGAAGUCGAUACCAUAGUAUCUCCUUUCACCGGGUUCGACCCAGUUUAACGGAGUUCUGCACUUUCGACCAUACAGCCUCGAUCGGAGCCAUCUUGAAACUCUCUUGAUAGCUAUUGUUGUACGAGAAUUGAGCCAAAGGUAACCAUGAUUCCGAUGAUCCCCUAGAUGAUAACACACAAGCUCGUAGCAUAUCUUCGAGCACUUGAUUGAGUCUUUCCGUUUGACCCAAGGUUUGAGGAUGAUACGCUGUGCUUCUUAUCAGACUAGUCCCCAAACUCUUAUGCAUUCGCUCCCAAAAAUGAGCGGUGAACUGCAGUCCUCUAUCUGAUAUGAUGGUCUUGGGAAUACCAUGCAACUUGACAAUCUCAGCUAGAUACAAAUCAGCAUACUCGGGAGGUCUGUAACGAGUCUUAACAGGAAUGAAAUGAGCCGACUUGGUCAAUGGAUCUAUGAUUACCCAAAUCGAGUCAUUCCCCUUUUGUGUAGUCAGCAGACUGGUGAUGAAGUCCAUACUGACCUCUUCCCACUUCCACUCUGGAACCGAUAACGGUUGCAACAGCCCUGCAGGUUUCAUGUGUAUAGCUUUGACUCUGCAACACGUGUCACAACGGGCCACGUAUGCUGCUAUCUCUUUCUUCAUUUUGGUCCACCAAAAGUGAGACCUUAGGUCUUGAUACAUCUUACUACUGUCAGGAUAGACAGAAAGCUUUGAGAGAUGUGCUUCAUCCAUGAUGUGAUUCUUUAGUUUUCGAUUUUUCGGAACUACCAACCGGUGCUGAAACCACAGCACACCUUUCUCAUCAACUCGGAAUUGAGUCUUUGGGUCGUUUUUAAUCUUCUCUUUGAUGUGAGAAAUACCCUUAUCUGUUUCCUAACCUUUGAUGUCUUGACUUUCUAGCAAACAACUGAGCUGUAUGUGACAUAACACUUCAGGAUGCAUGAGAUUGAAACCAUAUUCGAACAAGGGUUGAACCACUUGAUAGUGUGGUUUGCGACUCAACGCGUCUGCUACCACAUUAGCCUUGCCUGGAUGAUAGUGUACCUCCAGAUUGUAAUCCUUGAUCAGCUCUAACCAUCUUUGCUGCCUCAUAUUCAGCUCGGACUGAGUGAAGAUGUACUUUAGAUUUUUAUGAUCUGUGUAGAUAUGACACUUGUUUCCCAGCAAAUAGUUCCUCUAGAUUUUCAGAGCGUGUACUACCACUGCUAGCUCGAGGUCAUGAGUCGGAUAGUUGAUUUCGUGCUUUCUUAACUGUCGUGAAGCGUAAGCUAUAACUUUUCCUUCUUGCGUCAGCACACAUCCUAAACCACUUUUCGAUGCGUCGUAGAACACAUCAAAAGGCUUCUCGAUAUUUGGCUGUGCCAGAACAGGAGCGGUGGUCAGCAACUUUCGCAAGGUGCGGAAGGAUACUUCACACCCUUCUGUCCAAACAAACUUAUGAUCCUUUUGUAGCAAACUGGUCAUUGGCUUAGCAAUCUUGGAGAAGUUGGGUAUGAAGCAACGAUAAUAUCCAGCUAGACCAAGAAAGCUUCGAACUUCCGAGAUAGAAGUUGGUGCCUUCUAGUCCAUGACUUCCUGUACCUUUGACGGAUCCACAGCAAUCCCCUCUUCUGACAGAAUGUGCCCGAGAAAAGGAACUUUCUUUAGCCAGAACUCGCACUUGCUAAACUUUGCAUACAACUGAUGUUCUCGCAGUCGUGUUAGCACGACUCUUAGAUGCUCGACAUGAUCUUGAUCAUUCUCUGAAUAGACCAGAAUGUCAUCGAUGAACACCACAACAAACUUGUCUAAUUCUAGCAUAAAGACUGAGUUCAUCAGAUACAUAAAGUAUGCAGGAGCAUUUGUCAACCCAAAGGACAUGACAAGAUACUCAUACAACCCAUAUCUGGUGGAGAAGCAGUCUUCGGUAUAUAUUGCGGACGGAUCAUGAUUUGAUGAUACCCGGACCUCGAAUCUAUCUUAGAGAACACUUUUGCCUUCGACAACUGAUCAAACAAGAUAUCAAUCCUUAGCAACAGAUACUUAUUCUUGAUUGUUACCGCAUUGAGUGGACGAUAGUCCACGCACAUGCGCAACGAUUGAUCCUUCUUUCUCACGAAAAACGCCGGACAACCACAUUCCGACGAACUUGGCCGGAUGAAACCUUUAUCCAGCAACUCCUUUAGUUGAUUCUUCAAUUCAGCGAGCACAUUAGGUGGCAUCUAGUACGGCCUUCUAGAGAUCGGUGUUGUACCUGGUAUCAACUCUAUUGCAAACUCUACUUUCCUAUCUGAGGGAAGUUCUGGCAAUUCCUCAGGAAAAACAUCAGGAAACUCACAGACUACUGGUAUGUGUUCUAGUGGAACCACCUGUACUGCACAUGAAAGACUGGCGAAGUCGAAGCGUCGGGGUAGCCUGACCUGAAGCAUGCCCUCCCCCAGAGGAUCUUUAAGGGAGAGAGUUCUAUGUCCCACAUCUAUAACUGCACCCCAGUCAGUCAUCUUAUUCAUUCCAAUGAUAACAUCCAAAACUAGCCCUGGCAUGAUCACAAGGUUUACACGAAACCUUCGGCCACUGAUAUCCAAAGUAAGCCCUCUUACUGCUUUGUUAGUCAACACAUCAGCCCCUGCUGAACUAAUACGAUAACCAUAACCCAACUCGGUAACUGGUUGGUCAUGCUUUUGUGAAAAUGCUUGGCUCAUGAAUGAAUGCGAUGAUCCAGAAUCAAACAAAACAACUGCAAGAUGUUGGUUGACAGGAAACAUACCAGCUAUGACCAGAUCUCCUUCCAGGAUCUUAUCUAUCGAGGUGUGGUACACAGAGGCCGGGUAGGUCCUCUGCUGCUUCUUGGGGUAGGGACAUUCCUUAGCAAAGUGCCCCAUCUUGUGGCAGUUAUAGCAUGGUCCCUUAGUCAUGUUGUUGGCAGCAGGUGCCACAGCUUGAAUUGCCUUUGGCAUGGCGGGAGCUAUUGCUACCUUGCACGGCUUCUGCUGCGUUGGAUGCCUUGUGUUCCAUCUCUCAGGCGGUCAGAACCUAGCACCUGGGAUAGGAGGAUGAUACUGCUGAUGCCCUGCCACUGGUGCCCGGGACUAAGACGACCCGGCUUCAAAAGCCCUCUUGCGUGACUUGGAUGCACUAUAGUUGUUGUUAUUGUUCUCCUGGGUCAAACAGUCACUGAUGUAGGCAUUGAAGGUAGCCCGGGUUCCUAUACCCAUGGUCUUUAGCAUCUUUGGGCUCAAGCCUCUCUAGAAACUAGCGAUCUCUUUGGCCUCUGUGUUCACAAACUCGAGAGCGUAAUGAGCGAGAUUGUUGAAAGCGUGCAGAUACUCCUUCACAGACUUCGUUCCCUGGGACAGCCUCAUGAACUCUCCAACCUUCAUUUCCACCACGCCCGGAGGGAUAUAAUUCCCCCGAAAAGCGGUGGUGAAGCGGUUCCAGGUGAUCGGGGUCCCCUCUGGUAGGUGGUACGAUGAUGGGACCACCAUAUCCCAGCAGGCCCCUGCAACUGAUGUGCUGCAUACUCGGCCUUGAGCUCUUCGGUCAUCCGAAGGAGACGGAACUUUUGCUCCAUGCUGUUAAUCCACUCAUCUGCCUCAAGCGGUUCCAAAGCCUCCUUGAAGACUGGUGGUUUAGUAUCCAUGAAGUCCAUGAAAGAGCUGUACUGAAUGACUUCACGACCGCCUUGGUUAUCCCCACGGCUGGUGUUGUCAGCGAUAUUGUGCAGGGCUUCUUCCAUGUUGCGCUGCAUCAGCUCCAUAUUGCGUUGGCUCCCCAGAAACUACGCGAAAAACACGUCUGUAGUGUAUAGAGGAGGGGGUGGUGGUGGCGGUUAUGGUGCUCUCUCGUCAUUCCUUUGAGCCCACCUACGGAAGAACCUGCUCCAAGACCAAGGUUGCUAUUACCGCCGCCAUGCGUUUGCACCAUCUGCAUGCCUCAAUGAUAAGCCGUCGUUAGGAGUUGUUAUCAACGGUAGACGUAUGUAGAAUUAUGUCGUACUAAAUUUACUGAGGAAAAUAAAUUCGCACAAUAAACAGAGGCACAAGAAUUCAUCAUCCACACACACAACAUCACUAACAGAUUACUAACAUUCGAGCAACAAGGUCCGCAUACGUCCAAAAUUGCCAGCAUACAUACACUGGACUUUCAGCGUUUAACACAACUCAACACGUAGAGUCUUACACAACAACGAUCCAACCGAUUACAAGACAUGCCAUGCAUCAACAACAGCAAAAGAAGAAGGACUAGCUCUAGAGCCCUAGCAUCUACUCGCUAUGGUCACUGUCCAUGCCGGAGCCCUCCUCGUCCUCAUCUCCACUAGCGGCUGCCUCCAUCUCUGGAUCCUCAUCCAUCUCAUCCUCAGAAUCUAACUCAGCUACUCCGGGCAGGUGGUGAGGGUGGAGCUGGUUAUGCAGCUGGUGGAUCUCCUCAUGCAAGUUCUCAUUGUACUCCUCAGCAUUAGUUAGCUGCUGCUCAAGCUCUAGCUGUCGGGCCCUCAGGGUGUCCUCCUCGUGCCAGGCUUCAUUCCUCUAACCAAGCACAUGAACGAGCAUGCGCUCGCAGUUCCUAUGAGCGGUGGUCACCCUGUCCCUCUACUCCCUCACUGCGAGCAGGUCCUGACUCAACUCACUGUUCUUCUGGACUGCCUGAUCCCUCUCUAGAGUCAUGGGGGCCAACUCUGCCUGCAUCCUCUCAACCUCACUAUCAAACUCGCGCUGCUACUGGCGCUUCUCAUCCUGAACUGUGAGAAGGGACCCAGACAAGUGCCCCAAACAACGCUCUAGACCCCCAUAGGUCUUCAUCAGGGCGAACAUAGCACUCAUAGCUAGGCUGUCACUAUGCUGAUCCUCACCCGCACUCCUCUCUAGAGCAUUCACCUCGGACUGAUCCCACACCAAAGUGUAGGGGUCACCCCUAGGAAACACCCCAGCGAAGGCGUGGGCCAGCUCCUGUGGAAACCUCUCCAUGAUGUCCCUCAGAACUGCAAAAGCAGCCCUACUGGCACCGUGGAAAGGCGUGGUACCAUGAGACUUGUACACCUAGACACCCCAGGCUCCUCUGGUAGGGACCACUGCCUCGAUCCCCACCAGGGUCCCGUCACCAAGCUACUCCUUGUUCCAAUAGUAGCGAGGUUCCCUUCCUUCGGGAUACCCCCAUCGAACUGAGCACCCUCCAAAGCAAGGUGGGCAUCCCAAACUCCUCUAGGAACUUGCUCUUAUGACACGAGCUCCUAGCUGCCAACUGAUGGCGAGGGGCCCACCCACGAGUCGACUUGCGCGAAGUGAGCCUAGUGCGUGCCAUCUGCUGCAAAUAGAAUACCUUGGAAAGACUGAGGAUAAUCUUUUAUUAUCUUAAUUGAAAUUGGGACAGAUUCAAUUAAGGGGAGGAAGUAAACAAUGAUAUGGAAUGAACAUGAUGCAUGCACGAACUUAUGAUCUCACAAACUUAGAAAAGAAAGUCAAUACUAAUCGGUAUAUGCGGUGGCACAUAAAGUUCUCUCAUAACGUAACUAGCGUUCUAGGCGGGAACGUGGUUAGUGUACCUGCAAAAAACUCAUUUCAGCCCAACCCCAGUAUGAACAUGCAGAACAAGAAUUUAGAGCUACACACCCCACACACAUAGACACCACAUCCAUGCAUAUGGCGUGGUACUACCUACAUCAUGGCCCUAGUGACGGCAUCGCCUCUCAGGACGGAAUUUCCCAACAUGCGGUACUUUUCCUAGGCACACCAACAUGUGCGCAUGACACAGCCCCUAAAAUCACUUCCCUAGAUCGGCAGUGUAUACGAUCAUGCUCUCACAGCUCCCCCUUACCGAGGCUUAGAGGAAAAAUUGAUCCACACAUUACCACUCAAAUGAAUGGCACUCAUACUAUUGCAUGGCGUAUGAGCGACGAAAUAGAAAUAUGAUGCAUAACCCCCAAGUUAGUACUGAACUAGCCACCUUAGAGUCCAUAACCGGGCAUAAAGGGUAUGACCAUGGCACACUGUGUAAUUUUCCAAAAACUCAUUUGAACACCUUGAUUCUCAUUAAUUUCAUAGUUAACUUUCAUUAACCGGUUUAAGUUUAAUUUAGAACGUACUUAUGAACAGUAACUCACUAAACCUUGCUCCGAUACCAGCUGUAACAGAACCGCCCAAAUUAUAAGAGAUUAAGCCUAAUGGUGACCAUUUGCAUAGUCGAACCAUCGAGCUUAAGCCCAUAUAAUCCCGGUAGUCCGUGAAAUCUCGAGGGAUUUCAAACCACAAAUCGUACAUACAGCCAAGAUCGUAAUAAGUUCAGCGGUCACCAUUCACAAUUACAUCCAGUUCGCAUCAUUCAUGAUAUACAUCGGAGUUACUUAAAGUUAUUAAAAACCAAGUUCUCCAGUAGCGAAAGCUUCAUAGUUUGAAAGUAACACACACACACACAUUUAGUCUGAUACAGUGCCAUAGUUGAUCAUUCCCACAAAAGCAAAAGAGGAGGUAGAGUGACCAUCGCCCUUGGCCUAGUCAUUACCUAUUGCUGGGUACAAGCAGAGAAUGCAAUAACCAUAGUACAUAUGCCCAUCUGCAAAGCAACAUGGGAAUAGAACCCUGAGUACGAGAAUGUACUCAGCUAGACUUACCCGUUAUAAACCAAAAAUAAAGACUCUUCAAGGAUCAUGAAGGCUGUAUAGUGGGCUAGCUGAGACUUUUUGCAUAAAAGUACUACUCAACUAGAAGUACAUCCUAACAGUACUCCCUCUUCUUUUAAUUAGCUCAGGUUAGGUAUUAUUACCUAUCAUCUAGAUUUGCACCUGUACUAUUCCAAACAAGUGUGGUGAUAUGAUGGUACCUCAUCAUACCAUUCAUAAAUCAUUUAUCAUCAUACCCAAGUGUUCCAUAGUCCUUACUACGAGGACAAGGCUCAUGUCAAGUGCUCACUAUCCAGGAGCGAUGGCGAUUCGAAUCGAUUUCUGACCACCUGGCGAGUUUAUUCCCCACACAAACCACACUCACUGAUCAAGUGAGCUAUAGAUCACCGUAUUGCACUAUCCAGGACCAAUUCGCGGAUUCGACCGGCACCGCCCGUACCCGAGGACCGUUCCGACGAUCGAGGUAUCCAUGGUAUAACAAGGUUGCACGCCGCGCCCUCGUCGUUCUCCUCAACCAUCAACAAUACGACGCGUACAUCGGGCCGAUUCUCGGCCCGGAUAGUGCUCAGGCUUCGCGGUCGGAACGACUUAUCCUUCCAGCUAAGUGUGGGGCAUGCGUUCAACAUGACAAGAGGGCCGUCAACGAUCGGUCCUUAACCGACACAAGCAGGGGCACUACAGUCAACCCCACCAUAUGACCCUGCCCGGUCUCAAGUUCAAUCCCACACUUGGUUACUUCCCUCUUAGCAUUGACAGCUAAUCAAAUAGGUGUUCACCUAUAUCUCGCAGGUGACAGGAAAUCACCCGACUUCUACCGUACUAAGGAAGCUAAGCAUAGACUCCGAGCCUAUCUACAUAGGACAAGGUAGAUAAACAAGGGGUGAUAUCAAGGAGUAAGUAUGCAUCAAUGGUAUCAAGCAAUUCCUAUCACUUAAAUGGAACAUAGUAAAACCAGCAUAAUAUACUAAUUAAGUUAGCGAGAAUAGGGAGACUUAGAAUGCUCUGGGGCUGGCCUUUCUCAAACGUGCUCGGCUUGUGGUCCGAGCACUCCUGCAGCUCUUCUCCCGGCUCUAGUCCUCCUUGAAGUUCCUACUCUGGGGUUUCCUCCUGCUCCUCGGGUCCCACUUCGUUCUCCUGCAAGCCUAUAUGAUGCAUGUGUGCUUAUGAGUGGAGUGCGAGAUGCCCGGGGUGCAAUGCUUAUGCAAGUGGGUAUCAGAAGACCAUGACAUGGUCCAUAGAUGACAUAGGUGGUUAUUUCUACAAGGUAGUCAACAUCAUCCAAAAACAUGUACUCAGAUUAAUCAUCUAUUGCAUUCUCUUCUACAAGUUGCCUUUAUGGUUAACCAGCAAGCUAACAUGAUGCUUCAAAGAUACACCAAACACCCUUUUAUUCCAUUUAAUUUAUGCAUAACAAUUCAUAAUUUAUUUUAAUUAUUAUUGGACCUACAACAGCAGCAUAUGUUUCUGUUUAUCAAUAAAUUCCAUAAAAAUUACAGUAGAUCACUGGUCAAUCAUAAAGUCUACCAUAAAUUUUUCAUAAUAUUUGGACACUUAUUUUGGGCUACACAAAUUACAAGAUUAUUCAAUAUAAUUAAGUACAAAUACCCUACUGUUGACCAAGUGUCCAACAGAUUUCAUAUUUUUAUAAAUUGCUUGUUAACAUAAGAAACACCCACAAAAAUUUCUAGAUUAAUGGCAUGAUCCAGUUAUUUAUUAAAAAUCAUAAACCACUGCCAUGCAAGCAUUUAAAUCAUCAUAAAUUAAUUUAUACAGAAAAUAAUAUGUGACAUAUUUUUCCUAGAGACUAAUCAUCCAGGCAAAGCUAACAAAACAAGUUUCACCAUUUUCUGAGUUAUAUUUUAAUUGCUAUGCAUUUUCUACUUAUCAACAAAACAUGGAUUAAAUACAUUUGCACAGAAAAGUUGUUCAAACAUGACAUGCAACCACACCAAACUACAGAUCUAGACUUAUAGAACACACCAAAAUUUAUUUCAUCAUUUUUGGAGCCAUAGAUCUCAAGAUAUAGAUUUAAUACCAUUUCAAUCAUUUUCUAGAAAACCUUUUCUAAAAAACCAUUUCAAAUCCGGAACGAAAAAUGCUAGGAACACCCGAUCUCUACCCGCCUCGGUCCUCCUGCGGCUAACAGUGGGUCCCCGACCCCACUGGUCAGCGUGACCGAGAGGGAGAGCACCUCCGACGAGCAGAUCUCGUCGGCGGUGAGGUCUCUAGCCACGAGGUGAGCACCAACGUGCUCCCCGUAGCGAGGCGCACUCGAGGGUGCCAUUGGUUUGGCUGGAGGACGACCGGAACACCCCUGCUGACGUGCAUGGUGGCACGGCAGCGCUGCUCGCCGUGGCCAGGCCACUCCGGCGGAGUAGAACACGUGCGGGGUACCGUCUAAGCUUCCUCGUCACGCUCCGAACCUAACGCGCUCAAGAACAAGCAAAACGGGGCAGAAACGGGAAGGUUUCGACGUGGCAGAGCACUCUAACAAGGUCGGGAGAACUCCGGCGAGAGAUUGCGGUCUCGUGGAGGGUUUUCACCUCGGUAGAGCGCGCGCAGGGGCUUACCGGGGCGAAGGCGAACACGGCGGUGGUCUUGGCGAAGAGAACGGACCACUAACGCGGCCUGCGGCGAGCGGCGGAGCUUCGGCCGGCAAUGGCGCCACGGCGGUUGCUGCUGCUGCGGCUGCGCUCGCGAGCGGAGAAGGAGAGGGAGCGGGGGGGACAGAAUGGCGUCUGGUGGCGCGGGGUGCCGUCCCGACCGGGGUAAGCCGGUCGGCCGAGCGGGCGUCCACGACGCCGGUGUACGGCCGGCACGUGACCGGCGCCGGGUGGAGCGAGGCGGACAUCCGCGCGUGGGAGAGGGGAGGGGAGGCCGGGCCGCGCGGCUUGGAUGGGCGAAAAGGGAGGCGGAUCGGCCCAUCAGCGCCUGCCCCCUUUCCUCUUUUUUUGAAUUUCUUUUCUCCAAUACUUUUUCAAACUUAUUUUGACAAAUUUAUACCCUUUUUCAGCUCUGGCCCCCAAAACAAAAGUUGUUCUAAAUAAAAAGUUCUACAACUUUGUUUCAAGCUGUAAUUCCAAAUUCCUAAUAGAAUUUGAAAUUCCACUCAAAACUAGUUCUAGGUUUUAAAUAAAUUCAUUUUGGGGCUUUUUGUAUAAAAUCCAUUUCUCAAAUUCUAUAGCUCCAAAAAUUUCACAAAAUUAUUCUUAGUUCUUCUAUAACAUAUUUCAAUCUAUUUUGGUCAUUUCAAGAAAUUUAGAAGCCAUAAUAUUUUUAUCAUAUUUAAAUCACAUAAAUUAAGCACAUAAAAUCACACUUGAAUUACUACUAUGCUCAUGUGAUGUUAUGCUUAUGCCAUGCUUGAUGAGAAUGCUUAUGAGAGAGUGUAUGAGACUAAGUGCAUGCUUAACACCUAGGGUGUUACAGCGUCGGAGGGAAAACAACUUCGCCAACAUAAACUGAUGGUUUCCCAAGGACAAGCUUAGUGUCCUAAAAUAAGCACUGAUGAGAUCAUAACAUGAACUUUUAAUUAGUUGCAAUAUUACCUUGUGUAUUGAGCAUAUAAGAAUAAUUGUAAAAAUAUUCCUUCGGGUAUUCUUGUCACUAACCUUUCUAGGAUUGGAGCAAGAAGAUCGGAUGAACGACAAGCAAGUACAAGGUAUGUCCAACCAAUCAUUAUGCAACACUGAAUUAAAUUCAUCCAAACUUUAACUUUGCAAAAUUCAAGCUUGGGGGAGUACCUUACAUAAAAACAUCCUUUGCCAUGUUGCUGUGUUGGUUGUCCCUACCUUUGAGACAUGCUCAAUUGAUUAAAUACUAAUCACACUACUUCAUCUCCACUUGAGUAGAUCUCUAUAAAUGCCAUCACGCUACCUUUGUUUAUCCUAGUAAGUGUUAGUUUGGAAGUACUGCACAUACUUCUAUUGGCUUUUAAAUUAAGCAUGGUGCUUAGGUUAAACAGCCUUCCUUAAUCUGAUUAGACAUGGAGUGUAGUUGGGUUAUUGAACUAAAAACUGCUUGUGUAGACAUUGGUAUAUUUUGUCAGACUAACCCCUGCAGAAAAACUUUCAAUGUCGAUUUGGGAUGUCCUGAGAUAAACUCACAUCGGAGAUGAAGAGAGAGACACAUGAAGUUUAACAAUUUGCACAAGAAGGACAUGGCUCAUUCAUCAUAGAGAGAUGAUCCAUGGAAGGAGACAAAGUACAUAAACAAGAUGCACAACUGCUAAGAAAGGAAGCUUUCACAAGGUGAGAUAGUACCAUCACUCUUCAAUUAAGGUAACAUCUUAAGAUAUGUGACUAUCACUUUUAUAAGUUUCUCCUUGGUUCUGGCGUUCACAUAAAUAAAGAGACAAACAUGUAUGAUUUAUAACUCCAUUAACCAACCCAACUGAUUCGUCAUGUUUAGUCCUUUAAUCUUUGUUCCUAGUACUACCUCCAUGAUCCCACACUAAUCAUAUGAGCUAAAAUGUUGCACAUUCAAUCUUUGGGAAGAUAUAAAGAAAAAGACAUAUACAUAAAUAGAUUAUCUUUCCAUAAGGUUGAGCGAUCUGAUCUGACAAAUGUAUUAAAUGCUGCACUCAAGAACUUAUUACCCAUCAACUUUGUCUUGCUCCCUAUGCUUAAGGAUAGAGAAGAAUAAAUAUACUUUUGGUUCUGUUGGUGUUUUCCACCAACAGGACCCACGCACUUGAUCUUCGCCUCGUCUCUAUGAGCAGGACACAUUUUGAGAAACAUGGAGGAUUUUUCAACUCUCAGACACUACCAAGUGAAGGACCUGGAUCUACGAGCACAAACACACUGAGUAAGAUACUGCCAACGCCACACUUCGAACUGCUCGGCAAAUGAAGAACAUGGGUGACACCGUAUCAAGAGGUGCAGACGUCAAGGUCCACACCUGAAUCAAAUGACGCACCUAAAGAAUGAACACGGUGAGAAGUCUUGUUCAGAAGACUUAAAACAUUGAACCCUUGCCGAAAGGUAAAAUCGGUAGUUAUCCAUAUUUAUCCUUUCUGCAUUCCCUUUUUCCAUAAAUUAUUUACUUCCCUUAAAUAACUUGUUAGUUAAUCAUGCUAUCUUGAAAAGAAAUUAAAAAUAUUAAAACAUUAAGCCCCAUGUGAGUAUGCUCGUGGCAUAAAACCCAUAAGCACGUUCACUGUGGUGGCGUAAAAAUAAAAAUAUUUCUGUUCUAUAAGGUGAAAUGAUAAAAAUAAAUUUAUGAUCCUACCAAAGAGAGUAAUAUUUAUUAGAGGAAGCUCAACAUGAUAAUGGCUAAGAGAUUUUAUGCUAACACCUAACUAGUUCCAUAAAGCUUUGUUGUCUAUUUGAGCUCCACGAAAUUCAAGGAUCAAAGAAGGCUAGCAGACGAAGGACAUCCUAAUUGCUGUCAGGGUGCUGCCGACAUUCAAAUACACCUCCGCCACCUGCUAGCUACAUUAGAAGAAAUUACGUCAAAAUCCAGCUUGGGGGAGAGCACCCCCAUUUAUCCAGCUAAGUGUUUAUAUUCGUGUUUAUACUUUACUCAAAUAAUAAAAAGAUGCAUAAUCAUAAAAACCCAAAUAAAGAUUUUGUGCUCUUAUCUUUGCUUAGUUUGCUAAAUAAAUAAAUAAAAUGUCUAUGCCAAAUUGAACUCCAAUGGUAAACUCUUACAUGGAUAUGAUAAAUAGUUGCUCUCCGAAGUACCUAGUUUUUAAAUUUGAGCCCUCUCUCAAGUUUAGGCAUAACUGUUAUAAUUUAAACCUUGCUCUAAACCUAAACUUGUGGGAAGAGUACCUAAUCAAAAGCCUAAGUCAUUAACGGAUAUGAUAUGGGAAGGUUGAGCUGCUGUUUAUCUAUUCCUAGAGAUACAAGAAUUUUAUCUUUGAAAAUCAUUAAAAUGUUGCAUGAUGAGUUCCUGUAUGAUGAGAGUUUAAAAUCCUACCACAGCCAUAUAUACAUGCUUACUAGACUAUGAACCAUACAUUUACUUUUUACUACUUAUGAGCAUUGAGUGUGGUCAAGCUGUGUAGACCCUUAAGAACUUGUCAUGCGGUUAAAAUCAAGAUUCACUUGCACGUUCACUCAUACAUGCUACUUCUACUCUGGAAGUACGCAUCCAGAUACAUCCACUCAUUUCCAUCUCCAGAUCCACCCAAAAUUAUUCUACUCCUAUUCAGGAGAGAAUAGCUAAAAGCAUUCUCCUAUUUUUGUUUUCCCUGUGAAAUAAAUGCUCGAGAUAUUUUGGUUACUUCCACUUGCUACAUUAUUCCAGGAGGGUGAGUGCUCUAAAAAAAGAGAAGAAAAAGGAAAAAUACGAGGAAAUAAAAAGGGGCAAGUGCCCGGAACCUCGAAGAAAAGAAAAAGUGAGACGAGAGGUAAAAAUGGACAAGUGUCCGACAGUAGAAUUAGGGGUACAAGAUACCCACCGGAGAGAAAAGAAAAAGAAAAUAUAGAGCAUCUCAUUCUCCUCAAAAGCUUCAAAGUGCAAGAAAGGUAUGUAUCCUCUCAAAAGAGCAAAAGUAGAAUUAGACUUUCACCAUUGUUUUCACCAUGAUCAUCAUACACAUUCAUUCACCACACAUGCACAUCUUGAUAUUGACUUAUUGACUUGUUUCUUUGGAUCCAUGGUUUGACUAUGCAAUAAAUGUCUUGUAAGUAUAAAUUAGUUGUCUCCCACCUAUGAGCUCCAGAUGUCAAAACCUUAUUAGAGUAGGGUGAGAGAGAAGGCAUAUACCAUCACUGCCUUGGUAAGGAUCCAGAAAUACCACAAAAGAGAGAAUUAAGAGAGUCAUACAAUGAAUCUCUGAGUUUUAUUUUAAAAAUCUGCAAAAAAAACUCCAGAGUUAUAGUUGAUCAAAGAACAAGAGACAUGGUGCUUGACUAGACCGUUCUAUCUUUUAACUGCUCAAGACACAAGUGACGGUUGAAAGCCCCAUGGUGAAAGGUAAAAUAAGUAAGUUUUAAGUCUUAACAAUUUACCCUAACUCAGAGAUGAGAUCUUGUUUGAACACAUGUGUACCUUUAAGGCAUGAAACCACUGCAGAAACUCUUGAGUCCAUCCUUGCUCAGGAAAGAGCAAGAGGUAAGCUUGGGGGAGUUGUUGACAGUCCUUAAGUACCAAAUUUAAUUAUCAAAUAAACAAAGAAAAGGAUCCAAAUGCAACCAACACCCAAACUUAGGGUUUUAUCUGACAGAAUUCCACAAGUUUUGGUGUUUGUCUAUUUCUGCAGGGGAUUAUCAGGAAAUAUGGAGGAAAGGACCACAUGUCGGGUUUACAUAGAGAUAUUAAUGUGCCGCGCAAUUUUCUAUCAUCUAGAAGACUCCAGAAGCCACAGGAACGAACAAGAAGCCGAGCGGGCCCGGGGGCAGGGCGCCCACCCUCCCCCCUAGGGCGCCCGCCCAGUCAUCUGGACCAAUCAGGCUCCACCUCGCGGAUCAUGCUCCACCGACCUAAUUGAUUAAAGAAAACCGUGCGAUUAAAGUCGGUUUCAUCCGAUGGCUCACAUUCAUUUGGAGGGGCUAUAUAAACAGGACACCUGGCCCUUGGAGGAGGCUCCCCCUUGAUCCCUAUUCAUUAUUCAUAGACAGAGCAAAAGCUAGGGUUUGGAGAUGAGAGCUCUCCUCUCAUCUCUAAACUAGAGUAGAUCAAGAUAGUAGCGAGAUGGAGAGCGACGGAUGAUUGGAGGAGAGGCUGGCCUGUCGGUUCUUCCUCUGGUUGUACUUUGCCAUGAGCAAGCUCUAAUCAAGCUUGCUCAUGGGAUGACUCUGGUAAUCUACUUCUAUUUCAUUAUGCAAUUACUAUCCAUGUAUGUUAUGGUUCACAACUCUUUUGAGUACUUUAAUCUAUAGGAAGCUAUAGUUGAGAGUUGUAGUAUAGGUGUAGCAUGGUCCUUAGACCUAGAUUACUUGUGGAUAUCCCCUGUCUUGUUGGAUCGUGUGGUAGGCCGCAUGGGUGACAGCUACGUUGGUUCUCUGUAGUCCACCUCCCGUUAGCAGGACUGGUAGGGUUUAUCGGCCUAUGGAUAAGCAUCCUUUGUGGUGUAAUCUUAUCACGUGGUUCGUCCCAGACAUAGACAUACCCCUUUGAAGUAGAGAAACCAUAGUUAUCCUCUCUAUUCUCCUACCAUCGCCCAUAUACUAGAUUGCUCUACUCUCUAUUCUCAUAUUAUAACCCAUUGUUAUCUUACCUUUAAUAUUGCUCUUAUUCAAUUCUACCAUCGUUCCUAUUUACACCUACCUAUCUAUCUAGGUUAAGUUAGAGCGAAGAUCAGUUCUCCCGUUUCCCUGUGGAUACGAUAAAACCUUUAAACGGGCUUGCGGAUUUAUCUGUGUGCGUAUAAUUACCAUAGUACACUCUAGUGCCAUGCUGGGGAUGACAACCUAGUAUUCAAGUGGUGUUAGCAAGUGUCAACAAUCACUUUCUUCUUCUACAAAGAAUUUGGAGUCUUCCUCAUAGUUAGGCUGAGCCAUCUCAUUUAGAGUAGCCAUCCUUGCCUUAUCUAGAGGGUCUAGGUCUUGUGGUUUUUUAGCAAUGGAAUUGAUUGCAUGAACGAAGGGUACAGAGUACUCCUCCCUACCAAUUCGAAUAUCAAGGCUCUCUUUGGUAGAUCCCUGUGACAGCAAGGUAGACCAAGGUUGUCCCAAGAAUACGUUGAAAUAGGUAACAUUGAAGACAUAAAAGUCUAAAAGAUCUUCUACCCCUUCAAGGGAUACGAAAAUGAGUUUCACAAUCCCCUUACUUUCUAAGGUGUUACCAUAUAGGUCUCUAAGACAUUGAUUAAUUUGGAAUCAAUGGGCGUCGGUGAAAUUUCUAGCUAAAUAAGAGCUAGAAAUCAUAUUCAACCCAACAACCGUACUGGGCUAAAAUAUGCCUUCCUCCAAUUUGAAAUUUCCAUGUAGUGACAUGGUAGUCAGUGUGGAGUAUGUCAUCGGUUGCCUCAGCUUCUGCAGUCCAUUCAUGGCUUAGUAAAGCUGAGAGUUCUUGCAAACUGUUUUGGCAAGAACUCUCAUCGGAAGGAUCUAGAGAUUGAUCGAUAGAUUGAAUUGCAUGGAUAGGGUAAUGCCUAGCAUUCCCAUAAUCCUCAAACAAAUCAAGUUUAAUAUCAAAAAGGUUGGAUGGACUUUCUCCCUCCUAUCGGAAGUGUGGAGUGGGUUCGGGUUGACUAACCAAGGGUUCAUCGUCAACAGGGAUGGACAGUUUUUCUCCUAGGAACUUCUCUUUUUCGGGGAAUUCAUCAGGAACACUAGUGUAGGGGGUAUUCUCAAGGAUCUUGGUGAGAUCCUCCCAUCCAACAUGCGCUGAAAGAUGAAGAAAUGCCCCGCUUGACGCAUUGUCAAGAUAAGGGGCGGUCUCCUUAUCUAAUCCAAUAUACAAAUGUUGUAAUAACAUUUGAUCUGGAAUGGCUAAGUCGGGUCCCAAAUUGGCCAAAUUGAUAAGUCUAGCCCAAGCUGCUCCGAGGGUCUCUUCCUCCCUUUGUCCAAAGGUAAGAACCUUGUCUCAUAACUGAACUACUCUAACUACAAGGAAGAACGCUAAGGUGAACUUAGUUCGUAAUGCUUCCCAUUCUCCAUCUACACUAUCUACGGUUCGAGCAUGCCACAGUUUGGCUGCUCCCGUCAAAAUGAACGAAAACAACUUCCAUGUAAGGGUUUCAUGUGACAUGCCUGAGAUAUUCUAGCAUGAACACACAUGCUCAAAAUCUCAUAAAUGUGAAUAUGGGUUUUCUUUCGCAUUUCCUGGGAAGGUACACUCCCGAGCUUUAUUGAUAAUGCUCCCGCGUAACUCAUAACUAUCAACCAAUAUAGGUUGGGAUGAUAGAGGUGGUUCUAAUUGUGAACUCUUAGGAGCUGCAAAGUGGAACAUAGAUAAAUUCUCCAUACGGAGAGGAAUAGAAAUCCUGAUUCUAGUCUUUAGAUAUCAGCUAUCGUUCCCCGGCAACAGCGCUAGAAAAGCUUGUUUACACCUUGGGUGGCACACAGAAUUAACCGCAAGCGCACGGCUGUCAGUUGUAGCUUUUCACCAAAGGAGUAUUCCAAGGGUUAUCGAAUCCACAAGGAACGUGAAGUUAUCUAAAGGCUAGAGGGAAGGAUGACUAUGGGGAUAGAGGUAUAGAGGCUAACUACUAUGGUUGGUCCACUACCGUUACUUUACUAAGGAAAUAUAUAUUCCUGACUUAUGCACUAUGAGUGUAACAACUUAAAAUUUGCAAGUUUCCAAAAUAGGAUAAAUUGAUUUAAUUUGUUAUUUUUUUGUGCUCAUAAAACAUAGGAAAAAUUUAUUAUAGGAUUUAGCAACAUGACUGUGCAUUCAUGAUGGUGCAUAUGUUUUGUUGUAUUGUGUGGAUUUGAUCAAAAUUUAAGAUAAUUCAAACUGGUUUCAAAAUGUUUUCAAAUUGGUUUUUAAAUAGGCUUUGAAAUAAAAGAAUAAAAAAAGAGAAGAACUCUCCCUCUCUAUUUUUUGCCCGAUGGCUCAAGUCUCUCCCCUGGCCUGGCCUAUUUCUGUAGCUCGCGAGUGCAGCAGCAGCCUGGCCCGCACAUGCGUAGGUCACCACAACCCACUCUUUCCUCCCACCGUUAUGCUCUUGGGCCGGCACAUCUCGACAGUUAAGCCCGUGUGUGCGUCCUCUCUCUCUUUCCUGUGCAUCUGACUACCUGGCCCUACAUUCUCUCUCGCUGAUGCUUCGGGUCCACAUGUCAGACUCGUCCUCUACCUCGUGACGGAGCCAGACUCCACUAUGAGUUUGAACCCGCCGCGUGGAUUUCUCGCGCUCGGUGUGUUCCGCACGGCUGUGAGCCCUCUAAGUAGAAGCCACGACUUCGCCCAACACCAUCUUUAGCUUACCUCUUGCUCAUCCCUGAGCAAUGAUAAUCUCAGCGAUGGAUCAGAAGUUAUUGUAAUGCCUUUCACCAUGGGACUUGUAACCGUCACUUUUGUCUUGAGUAGUUAAAAGAUAGAACGGUCUAAUCAAGUGUCAUGUCUCUUAUUCUUGAUCAGCUAUAGCUCUGGAGUUUUUGCAGAUUUUCAAAUAAAACUCAGAGAUUCCUUGUAUGACUCUCUUAGAUCUCUCUUUUGUGGUAUUUCUCGAUCCCUACCAAGGCAGUGAUGGUAUAUGCCUUCUCUCAAGAUAUGUAGUACUUGUGGUAUAAGGCAUUAUGUUAUUGCCUUCUCUCUCACCCUACUCUAAUAAGGUUUUUGAUAUCUGGGGCUCAUAGGUGGGAGACAGAUAAUACAUACUUACAAGACAUUUAUUGUAUAGUCAAACGAUGGAUCCAAAGAAACAAGCCAAUAAGUCAAAUCAAGAUGUGCAUGUGUGGCGAAUGAAUGGAGUAUGGUGAUGAUGGUGAUAACAAUGGUGAAAGUCUAAUUCUACUUUUGCUCUUCGAGGGGAUACAUACCUUUCUUGCUCUUUGAAACUUUUUUAGGAGAAUGAGAUGCUCUAUCUUUUCUUUUUCUUUCCUCUCAGGUGGGUAUCUUGUACCCCUAAUUCUACUGUCGGACACUUGUCCAUUUUUACCUCUCGUCUCACUUUUUCUUUCAUUUCUUUCGAGUUUCUGGGCACUUGUCCCUUUUUAUUUCCUCGUAUCUUGUCUCUUUUUUUAGAGCACUCAUCUCUUGAAAUAAUAUAGCAAGUGGUAGUAACAAGAUAACUUGAGCAUUUAUUUCUCAGGGGACAAAUAGAAAUAUUUUUGGCUAUUCUCUCUCGGAUUAGGAGUAGAAUAUUUUUGGGUGGGUCUAGAGAUGGAAAUGGGUGGAUAUAUGUGGAUGCGUACUUCCGGAGUAGAAGCAGCAUGUGUGUGAACAUGCAAGUGAAUCUUGAUUUUAACCACAUGACAAGCUCCUAAGGGUCUACACAGCUUGACCACACUUAAUGCUCAUAAGCAGUAAAAAGUAAAUGUGUGGCUCAAAGUCUAGCAAGCAUGUAUAUAUGGCUGUGGUAGGAAUUUAAAACUCUCAUCAUACAUGAACUCAUCAUGUGCUAUUUUAAAGAUUUUCAAAAGAUAAAAUUCUCCAGAAUUCUAGCAUUUCUAGGAAUAGAUAAACAACAGCUCAACCUUCCCCAU